CGUGUAGGCGGCUACGUAAGUCGGAUGUGAAAUCCCAGGGCCCAACCCUGGAACUGCAUCCGAUACUGCGUGGCUAGAGUCCUGGAGAGGAUGGCGGAAUUCCGGGUGUAGAGGUGAAAUUCGUAGAUAUCCGGAGGAACACCAGCGGCGAAGGCGGCCAUCUGGACAGUGACUGACGCUGAGACGCGAAAGCGUGGGGAGCAAACAGGAUUAGAUACCCUGGUAGUCC
rnacentral:rRNA from 1 species